rnacentral:snoRNA from 1 species
GGAGGCAAAUGAUGUUAAACAAAAUCUUAUACUACACACUGAAAUUAAAUGAAGAAAUUAAAACUCUCAAUUAAUUUUCUGAUGCCUCC